AUAUUGCACAAUGGGCGACAGCCUGAUGCAGCAAAGCCGCGUGCGUGAUGAAAGCCUUCGGGUCGUAAAACUCUGUCCUCAGGGACGAUAAUGACGGUACUUGCGGAGGAAGCACCGGCUAACUACCUGCCAGCAGACGCGGCAAUACGUAGGGAGCUAGCGUUAUCCGGAUUGACUGAGCGUAAAGGGUGCGUAGGCGGUCUUGCAAGUCAGGAGUGAAAGGAUAAGGAGCAACCGUAGUAAGCACUGGAAACUGGGAGGAUGGAGUGCAGGAGAGGGGAGUGGAGGUACUAGGGUAGCGGUGAAAUGCGUAGAGAUUAGGAGGAACACCAGUUGGGAAGGUGGGUCUCUGGAAUGGAACUGACGCUGAGGCACGAAAGUGUGGGGAGCAAACAGGAUUAGAUACCCAGGUAGUCCACGCUGUAAAAGA
rnacentral:rRNA from 1 species